AAUCAACGCUGGCGGCGUGCCUCAGACAUGCAAGUCGAACGCGAAAGGCCCCUUCGGGGGCCCGGUAGAGUGGCGCACGGGUGAGUAACACGUAGGUAAUUUGCCUUCGGGUGGGGAAUAACAGCCGGAAACGGCUGCUAAUACCGCAUAAUGCAGCGGCUCGACAUCGAGACAGUUGUUAAAGCGGGGGAUCGCAAGACCUCGCGCCUGAGGAGAAGCCUGCGGCAGAUAGCUUGUUGGUGAGGUAAUGGCUCACCAAGGCGACGAUCUGUAACCGGCCUGAGAGGGCGGUCGGUCACACUGACACU
rnacentral:rRNA from 1 species